rnacentral:rRNA from 1 species
CUACGGGUCGCUCCAGUGGGGAAUAUUGCACAAUGGGCGCAAGCCUGAUGCAGCCAUGCCGCGUGUAUGAAGAAGGCCUUCGGGUUGUAAAGUACUUUUAGCGGGGAGGAAGGGAGUAAAGUUAAUACCUUUGCUCAUUGACGUUACCCGCAGAAGAAGCACCGGCUAACUCCGUGCCAGCAGCCGCGGUAAUACGGAGGGUGCAAGCGUUAAUCGGAAUUACUGGGCGUAAAGCGCACGCAGGCGGUUUGUUAAGUCAGAUGUGAAAUCCCCGGGCUCAACCUGGGGACUGCAUCUGAUACUGGCAAGCUUGAGUCUCGUAGAGGGGGGUAGAAUUCCAGGUGUAGCGGUGAAAUGCGUAGAGAUCUGGAGGAAUACCGGUGGCGAAGGCGGCCCCCUGGACGAAGACUGACGCUCAGGUGCGAAAGCGUGGGGAGCAAACAGGAUUAGAUACCCGGGUAGUC